CCGUGCUAAGCGGGGAGGUAGCGGUGCCCUGUACUCGCAAUCCGCUCUAGCGAGGCCGAAUCCCUUCUCGAGGUUCGUUUACUUCAAGGUCUGCCUUAAAUAAGUGGUGUUGACGUCUGGGUCCUGCGCAAUGGGAAUUCAUGAACCAUGUCAGGUCCGGAAGGAAGCAGCAUUAAGU
rnacentral:SRP_RNA from 1 species